AAUCUCUAAAAAAGACUUAUUUUAGAAACAGAUGGAGUAUAUAUUUCGGGCAACGUAAUGGACUCCGCAGAGUGCGACUUUAAGAGCACAGAUCGUAACAACUUCAAAGUUUAAGUACAUUUCCAAUAACAUUACACAAAGUGGUACUUGUGUGUUACACUGUAUUGUACAGAUACCUGCAUGUAGGGCCACCGCAAAGAUGCCGAACAACAUGUAUUAUUCUAAUCUGCGCCCUCCAUCUCAUAAUAUACGAGCAUUUUUUUACACAAGUUACACAAGGAUGCACGCUUAGAUUUUUUUGAUAAAGAUGCACACUUAGAUGUGUGUUGGAGGAAGAAAAGACCUGCACGUACGGAGCGAUGGAUCAACGGGUCAUCCCUGGGUGCAUGAGGGGUGGCAUGGUUGCCGGAGUGCGCCCUUGCCUCUCCAUGUUGGCGUGCCAUCCUGCAGAGGUACGUCGAUGAGCCAAUCAUGCAUGUUAGCACAUAACUAUUGGUCCGCUCCGGUUAGUACUACAUACGAUAACGUUAGCAGGUGAUGUGAUGUGAUGUGAGGUGAGGUGAGGUGAGUACCGAGGUUCAUGUCGAAGCCUCUCUUCUUGAGCUCGCGGUACUCCUGGCAGAGCGCGCAUGGCUCGCAGCACCAGUGGAUGCAGCAGUCGGCGCAGGGGCUCUCCUGCAGGCCGUAGUGGGCGCGCAUCUUGGCGCGGUAGAAGCAGGAGUAGACGCACUGGCAGCCCGUGAGGCACAUGAUGAGCGCGUAGAGCGCGCCGCUCGCCCCGCACGACGUCGACCCGCGGUCGAUGAUCUCCGCGAUCUGCCCGAAGGUCACGCACGGGCACAGGCACGUCACGCAGCAGUUGCUGCAGUCGUCGAAGCAGUCGCACAGCCCCGUCGACCACGCCGCCAGCGGCGCCUGCGCCUGCAUCGCGAACGCCGCCGUCGCCGCGCCCGCUCCCGGAGCAUGGUAGUACGCGCUCGGGCCGCGCCCGCCCGUGCCGCCGCCGCCGCUCAUCGGGAAGCCCGUCGCCGGACCGUCCUCCGGCUUCGGGUACAUGGUGAGGCUGAGCGAUGGAUGAUGGCCUUGGACCUCUUCCGGACCGGCGGGCGAGGCGUAUAUAUGGAUUACUGGCUGCCUGAUCGACGACGACGCAGGCAGCACAACACGCGAUGAUAACCAUGCACACAGUCCACCAGUGCAGUGUGUGGCUCGCGUCGACUGCUGCGUUGCCAUGGCAACGACAGCGCGAGCGCGCCGGCCCUAUGCAUUUCCAAGAAACUACGCAGAACGUGCCCUGUAAUCUACGGGUGUUGGUCUGGCGCGAGGAGUGAAGACUGGAGACUCAGGGCAUGAGCCGGGGGAGACCGGAGAUGGAGACGUGGUGGUGGUGGGGGCGUCGUGGCGUGGACAGGGGAUGCAUGCACUGCACUGAU
rnacentral:lncRNA from 1 species